rnacentral:rRNA from 1 species
UACGGAGGGAGCAAGCGUUGCUCGGAAUCACUGGGCGUAAAGGGCGUGUAGGCGGGAUGGCCAGUCGGAUGUGAAAGCCCCGGGCUCAACCCGGGAAGUGCAUUCGAUACUGCUGUUCUUGAGUGUGGUAGGGGAGAGCGGAAUUCCUGGUGUAGCGGUGAAAUGCGUAGAUAUCAGGAAGAACACCUGUGGCGAAGGCGGCUCUCUGGACCACAACUGACGCUGAGGCGCGAAAGCUAGGGGAGCAAACGGG